rnacentral:rRNA from 1 species
GGUGAACGCUGGCGGUAGGCCUAACACAUGCAAGUCGAACGGCAGCACAGUAAGAGCUUGCUCUUACGGGUGGCGAGUGGCGGACGGGUGAGGAAUACAUCGGAAUCUACUUUUUCGUGGGGGAUAACGUAGGGAAACUUACGCUAAUACCGCAUACGACCUACGGGUGAAAGCAGGGGAUCUUCGGACCUUGCGCGAUUGAAUGAGCCGAUGUCGGAUUAGCUAGUUGGCGGGGUAAAGGCCCACCAAGGCGACGAUCCGUAGCUGGUCUGAGAGGGUGAUCAGCCACACUGGAACUGAGACACGGUCCAGACUCCUACGGGAGGCAGCAGUGGGGAAUAUUGGACAAUGGGCGCAAGCCUGAUCCAGCCAUACCGCGUGGGUGAAGAAGGCCUUCGGGUUGUAAAGCCCUUUUGUUGGGAAAGAAAAGCAGCAGGUUAAUACCCCGCUGUUCUGACGGUACCCAAAGAAUAAGCACCGGCUAACUUCGUG